UGGGGAAUUUUUGACCAUGGGGGAAACCCUGAUCCAGCCAUCCCGCGUGUGCGAUGAAGGCCUUCGGGUUGUAAAGCACUUUUGGCAGGAAAGAAACGUCAUGGGUUAAUACCCCGUGAAACUGACGGUACCUGCAGAAUAAGCACCGGCUAACUACGUGCCAGCAGCCGCGGUAAUACGUAGGGUGCAAGCGUUAAUCGGAAUUACUGGGCGUAAAGCGUGCGCAGGCGGUUCGGAAAGAAAGAUGUGAAAUCCCAGAGCUCAACUUUGGAACUGCAUUUUUAACUACCGGGCUAGAGUGUGUCAGAGGGAGGUGGAAUUCCGCGUGUAGCAGUGAAAUGCGUAGAUAUGCGGAGGAACACCGAUGGCGAAGGCAGCCUCCUGGGAUAACACUGACGCUCAUGCACGAAAGCGUGGGGAGCAAACAGG
rnacentral:rRNA from 1 species